rnacentral:sRNA from 1 species
AGGGAGCACGCAGGAAGCACGCAUAGCAACAGGGAUUAUGGACAGUGUCUGGAGACGCGCCAUUAGGGAUGAUCAGGACAAUAUUCUGCAAAGCCUCGCUUCGGCGGGGUUUU